CUGCCGCGUGAGUGAAGAAGGCUUCGGGUUGUAAAGCUCUUUCGGCCGGGAAGAAAUCGUGGUCUCUAACAUAGGCCAUGGAUGACGGUACCGGACUAAGAAGCACCGGCUAACUACGUGCCAGCAGCCGCGGUAAUACGUAGGGUGCGAGCGUUAAUCGGAAUUACUGGGCGUAAAGCGUGCGCAGGCGGUUUUGUAAGACAGAUGUGAAAUCCCCGGGGCUUAACCUGGGAACUGCGUUUGUGACUGCAAGGCUAGAGUACGGCAGAGGGGGGUGGAAUUCCUGGUGUAGCAGUGAAAUGCGUAGAGAUCAGGAGGAACACCGAUGGCGAAGGCAGCCCCCUGGGCCUGUACUGACGCUCAUGCACGAAAGCGUGGGGAGCAAACAGGAUUAGAUACCCUGGUAGUCCACGCCCUAAACGAUGUCGACUAGUCGUUCGGAGCAUCAAUGCACUGAGUGACGCAGCUAACGCGUGAAGUCGACCGCCUGGGGAGUACGGCCGCAAGGUUAAAACUCAAAGGAAUUGACGGGGAC
rnacentral:rRNA from 1 species